UCUCUUAUCUGGAAGGAGAAUGCAAAAAAGCAAUGCAAAAGCACCCAUCAAAACACUGAGUUAUUAUACAAAGUGUAAACAAGACACCAAUACAAUGCUAUAUUCUCCAAACAUGACACAUCGUUCCAUUAUGCAUAUUGAUGAUAUGAAGGCUAAGUAUCAAACUAUCGGCCACUAAGCUUUGCUAUCAAUGGUCAUUGGCACUGCCUCCUGCUUCCCUGCUGAAUUAGCAGCCUGCUCCAGCUUGUUCAUUUUUGCAAAAAUAUUGCCAUAGAACUGGGCAUCUCUCUUGUUGUAUUCCCUCACUUUCUCUUUCAACUGUCUGUAUUCGAUCUUCACUUCCCUGUUAUCUGGGUCUAUCUCAAGGGCUUUUUUGAUAUCCUGCUCAGCAAGAUCAAGAUCAACAAGUUGAAUAUAUGCCUGGGCCCUUCUAUAGAGAGCUUUCACGUUCCGACUGUCAAGUUCCAACACCUUUGUACAGAGCUUCUCUGCUUGCUUGUAAUCUUUGACUUUCAAUUUGCACGCAGCAUUGUUGAGGUUGCACGAAAUCUUCAGUGCCUUGCUCUGUUGCUUCUCUUCAUCGCUGAAAGAAGUAUCGUAUUCAAUGUAGCGCACAGCCUUUUCAUAUCUCCUUGAUGCUCUAUCAUAUUUUCCAGCUUUGAACAAAAUAUUCCCUUCUUCCUUCUUUUUACCUGCUGCUUCUAUUUUCUCUUCUGCUGUGUUCAGAUCCCAAGAUUCUUUUUCUUUGACGAAAGAAACUAGCUCAACUUCAUAAUAUACAGUUGAGUUUGCAGGAACUACAGCUAGAUCUUGGGGUGAAUCAGAAGAUCCAAAAGCAUAUUGUGGAUGGAUCGUCACCAAGGCAAUUUCUCCCUUCUUCAUCUUUCUCACAGCCAAAUCAAGUCCUUCAAUGACUUGUUCUUCGUCAGUUUUGAACUCAAAUGGCUUCUCAUCAUCACCCUUUUUCGUAAAAAUCGUCCCAUCGGCCAGUUUACCGGUUAGUUUCACUUGCACCACUGCUCCCUCAUUUGGCUGUUCAUAUCCUUCUCCCUCCUUCUGGGUCUUCUUCAGGACCUUCUUAUCCUUAGUAACCUCUGUAACAGUUUUCCAAGAAACCAAUUGAAGGGUUAUCUGAAGUGUGGCAUUUGGAGGCACAGCACCUUCUUCUCCAGCUCCAGGCCUACCAGACUCCCCAAAUGCAUAUUGUGGCCUCACAGUCAACAAAGCUUUCUCUCCCUUCUUCAUGGUCUUCACGGACGUUGCCAAGGCAGGACAGAAGUACCCUUUUUCAACAGUGAAUUCGGCCCCAUCAGACUUUGAGAUCAGUGUACCAUCUUCAAGACGAGCCUCAUAAAGAACCGAGACUUCGUCCAAAUCCUUCGGUUUGUCCCAGCCGUCUCCUUUAACAAGGAUCUUUUUCAAGAUUCCUCCAUCUUGGCAGAUGUCUUUGACGCUGUGCCAUGAAAGUAGCUCAACAUCAAAUUGAAGAGUAGCAUUCGGUGGAAUUGUUGGAGGAGAGCCGGACUCUCCAUAGGCCAAUUCAGGAGGUAUCGUGAAAACUGCACUUUCACCCUUUUUCAUUGUUCUAAUACCUUCAUCCCAUCCUUUAAUCACUUGCCCUUCCCCGAGCUUGAACUUGAAGGGCGUUCCUCGGUCACGGCUCGAAUCGAAUUGAGUUCCAUCAAGAAGGGUUCCCGUAUAAUGCACUUCGACUUCAUCACCAGUCUCGGGAGUUUCCCAUCCUUCGCCUUCUUUAACAAGUUUCUUCUUCAGCCCAUUCUUUCCAAUCUCCUUCUCUUCGCCAACCUUCAGAACUGAGCUCUCCGCUUCGUCCUCAGGCAAGCCCAUUUCCUCGUCUACAUUGCUUGCAGACGGGAACUCGAAAUCGUCCUCCAUAGCGGGAAGAAUCGGUAAGAAAUGAAAGAGUGAGAGAAACAGACGAAAAGGGUAUACAAUUCAAGCAAGAAAACGGAUAGCGAG
rnacentral:misc_RNA from 1 species